GAGCUUUGAUGUAUAAAGAAAUCCAACGCUGAUUUCUUACUAUGAAGAAAUCAAAUAUAAAUUCGAGCUUUUUAACCCUGAGCGAU
rnacentral:snoRNA from 1 species